UACUUCAUUCAAAACUCGAACUCGAAAGUAGGAGGACUGGUGUUGGGUAUAAAAUAACCCCAACCGAAGUUCGUAAGAGGCCGACCCUCUUAGGGCUCUUCCAGCUUCCGACUUUGUGUGGCAUCUUUCUGAACCUCCCUGGACAUCCGAGCUUCCAUAUUACCAUCCGGACUCCUCCAACGGUCGGCCUUCCACAGUGUCCUCC
rnacentral:lncRNA from 1 species